CCUGAAACCUAGUUGUUAUAAGUCUUCAAUUCAAAUAUUGAUGAAGGAAGAAAGGCAUGUAACUUCCCCUUCAGGUACAGCUGCUUCUCCCACCGCAGCAAAAGCAGGGUCAACAGCAAGCACAUUCACAACAUAUUCCCGGCCACCACCACCAGCAACCUUCGGAAAGCGAGGAGUGUAGAAGUGUCGGUCCAUCUUGUUGAUUCCCAAUUUUGACACAUCUUACGCCUUCCUCCUUUUUUGCUUUAACAAUUUUCAGAUUAGAGUGCAAUUGCAAGAGUUGAAGGGGAAUCAUGGAAGGAAAGCACAUAGAUUGCACAAGGGCAGAGCAAGUUCUGAAGUCCCUCAGGAUCCUAUCACAGCUUCAGUGGUUUGGAAUUACGACGAUCUAUUGGUCCCUGCCACGACGCCUGUGGCAGUGCGCAAUCCUCUCCUUGAGGAACAACAACAUGAAGUACUCUUGUGGAUGCUGCAAGAGAAAAGAAAAAUGAAACCUAGGGACCAGGCAGAGAAGAAACAAAUCGAUAAGGAAAAAGCCAUUCUCAAAAGGUUCCUGCGUGCAAAGUCCAUACCAAAGGUUUAAUGUUUCAAGGCUAGUUCUAUUACAUGACCAUAUUAACAAAGUAGGGUUAUUUACUUUGCUUUGAAUAUUUUGUAUUAUUAGUAGAUUGCAAUUUAAACAAAUAUAAGUCUGAGUUUAGU